rnacentral:lncRNA from 1 species
UGAUCAUCACCACGUGAGGGAAAAUCAGCGUGGUGCCUAUUCAUUCAUGAUGAGCAUGAUGCUGCUGCGAGCUACGAUGCUUUCCCUUGCGCAUAUCAACAACCGCUGAUUGAUGGGAAUCACAAACCUGAGUUUUAAACUUACAACCAAGCUUCUUUCCCAACGAUGUCCUCCAUCCACCGCCGUUCGCGGCAGUAGGUUUUUCAAUCUUUUCAAUUACUCUCUUCAUUGAAGAACAUUCCCGUUCGAGUUGAUGCACCCGAGUCCUCAUGCUAUCCAUAUCCAGGCGUAACACUUGAUUCUCCCUCACCGCGACACGCCACGUGCUGUUCCCUUCCUGCUGCACGUGCUCUGACUCUAACCCUAACCCUAACCUUAACACUUCCCCAUUUCCUUCCUCUACACCUUCCAGUGUAGCCGAAUGACGGCUUAUCUCCGCACCCGUCUCCGCUGAGAUCAAUGUCUCAGCGAUGGCAUGGCGGAGUUGAAGCUGUUCGAAGAAAAGUACUUGAACCACAGCGCGUAGUGGAAGCCUUUCAUUUUGUGCCGCGUGUGUGCAGGCUUCUAAUGUUAGCUUCUGACAAUCCAAUAAUCCACAUAUCUUCUCCCUCUCCGCUUCUGAAACCCAUGGAUGUGCCUGUGUAUCAAAUUCAACAAUUUCACUGUCAAAUCGAUUUCUGAAAAUGUAAAAAUGAAAGUAAAAAUGAUUUAUACCUUGAGAUAGACAUCGACGGCGCGGUAUAAACCGUCGUCGAAGAGUCUAGCUUGAUCCGGAAGAGAAAUUGCGAAAUUGUAAAAUCUCUCCGGCUUCAGAUUCGCAUCUGAAGCUAUUUCGGAGAGAUAACCAUCAAUGAGUUUUCCGACGAGCAUCAUCGCCGGAGAUCUCGAUUCAGCAGCUUCUCCUUCUUCGAUUACUUCUGCAACCGUCACUACACCGGCAGUGGAGUUUCUUGCUUCAAAGCUAUUCAGAAAGUGAGAUAAAAUCCUCUCUACACAAUCAACAUCAUAAAGCGUUUCGUUCAGAUACGAAUAACUUGGUACAAGAAGAUCAUCGAGUGUUGCUUCUUCAAGCUGUAACCCUAUUUUCUUCUCCAAAGCGUUUCUACAUGAUUCUGAAGCGUUUAGUAUAUUCGCAGUUCGUAACAAUCCAAAUAGAAACCUUGUUGCUGUUGACGAAUUCAGAUUCUUUUCCGGUGGAAGAUUCAUAACAACUGUUUCUAGUAUCUCUUUCUGUUCUGCUUCUGAUGAAACGGAGGAAGACGACGGUAAUGGUUUUCGACUCGAUCUCGAAACGCCAGGAAUGUACUUCUUAGCGUAAUACAUUACACAAGUUUCAAUAAUUUCAGGAUUCAGCUCUGCGUCUUUCAUCGCAAGAAUCAAUCGUUUGAAUAGAGGUACACGGAGAAGCGCCAGAUCUUCAAACCAAGAGUCUCCGGCGCCGGCGCCAUUUCUUCUUCCUGCAGCAUCAAUUCCAUUCCAAAGAAUCUGUUUAGAUGCAGAUGCGGCGGCUUCACUCACCGGCCAACCGAACAACGCAGGAUCCGCCGAUGAAGCUCUGGAGAUUACAGACUCAAUACAUCUCUCAGUAAUUCCUAAAUCUUCCGCCAUAGGAAACAACUUUUCACAUGACUUUAGCGUUUUGAUUGAAUUUCCAAGGCUUUUGAGAACGUUUUGAGAGAGAAACUUGUCUGUUUUGGAAAUGAGAUUAUCCUCGGAAUACUCUUCAGUCAUCUCAAGAAACUCACCGGCGCAACGGAGUGAAGCUACAUUGGAAGGUGACAGUUCCAUUUUAACACCAUAGCAGAAUUUAGCCGCCAUCUCAAACGCCUCAGAGCCACCGGGGAAAUCGGUGAAUGUUACAUGACAUUGUUCUUCGACGAUUUCGUCUUCAUCUUCUUCUUCUUCUGGGACUGUGGAAUGUGUUAUUGCUUCUGCUUCUUCUUGUUGGGUUAUUAGGUUGUGAAGCUUUCUACUUUUUGACAUAAGUGGAAACUGAAAAAAAAUGGUUAUUGAAAACAAAUUUCAAUAACAGUUUGUAGUUACUAUAAUUGGAAGUUUUUUGUGUUUGUGUUUGCAUCUGUGUUUGAAAUUGUAUAAGAAAAAUGAAUUCUUUACCUUGUGAAGAUGAAAGGUCAUAUCAUCUACUUCAACAACAAUGUCACUUGGUAAUCCAGUUGUACAAAACCUGCAUAAUGGAAUUAUGAUUGUGAAGUAAGAAAC